UAGCCUGAGUGCCAGUCUGUUUGUGCUAUCAUGCCAACUCCCUGUCACACUGAUGACCCUAGCCUGAGUGCCAGUCUGUUUGUGCUAUCAUGCCAACUCCCUGUCACACUGACCCUAGCCUGAGUGCCAGUCUGUUUGUGCUAUCAUGCCAACUCCCUGUCACACUGACCCUAGCCUGAGUGCCAGUCUGUUUGUGCUAUUAUGCCAACUCCCUGUCACACUGAUGACUCUAGCCUGAGUGCCAGUCUGUUUGUGUUAUCAUGCCAACUCCCUGUCACACUGAUGACCCUAGCCUGAGUGCCAGUCUGUUUGUGCUAUCAUGCCAACUCCCUGUCACACUGAUGACCCUAGCCUGAGUGCCAGUCUGUUUGUGCUAUUAUGCCAACUCCCUGUCACACUGAUGACUCUAGCCUGAGUGCCAGUCUGUUUGUGCUAUCAUGCCAACUCCCUGUCACACUGAGAACAGAUCUGGGGUCAGGCUAUAGAAGGAGACAACAGAUCUGGGGUCAGGCUAUAGAAGGAGACAACAGAUCUGGGGUCAGGCUAUAGAAGGAGACAACAGAUCUGGGGUCAGGCUAUAGAAGGAGACAACAGAUCUGGGGUCAGGCUAUAGAAGGAGACAACAGAUCUGGGGUCAGGCUAUAGAAGGAGACAACAGAUCUGGGGUCAGGCUAUAGAAGGAGACAACAGAUCUGGGGUCAGGCUAUAGAAGGAGACAACAGAUCUGGAGUCAGGCUAUAGAAGGAGACAACAGAUCUGGGGUCAGGCUAUAGAAGGAGACAACAGAUCUGGGGUCAGGCUAUAGAAGGAGACAACAGAUCUGGGGUCAGGCUAUAGAAGGAGACAACAGAUCUGGAGUCAGGCUAUAGAAGGAGACAACAGAUCUACCACUAUAUAGGGAAUAGGGCUCUGGUCUAUAGUAGUGUACUAUAUAGGGAAUAGGGCUCUGGUCUAUAGUAGUACCACUAUAUAGGGAAUAGGGCUCUGGUCUAUAGUAGUACCACUAUAUAGGGAAUAGGGCUCUGGUCUAUAGUAGUACCACUAUAUAGGGAAUAGGGCUCUGGUCUAUAGUAGUACCACUAUAUAGGGAAUAGGGCUCUGGUCUAUAGUAGUGCCACUAUAUAGGGAAUAGGGCUCUGGUCUAUAGUAGUACCACUAUAUAGGGAAUAGGGCUCUGGUCUAUAGUAGUACCACUAUAUAGGGAAUAGGGCUCUGGUCUAUAGUAGUACCACUAUAUAGGGAAUAGGGCUCUGGUCUAUAGUAGUACCACUAUAUAGGGAAUAGGGCUCUGGUCUAUAGUAGUGCCACUAUAUAGGGAAUAGGGCUCUGGUCUAUAGUAGUACCACUAUAUAGGGAAUAGGGCUCUGGUCUAUAGUAGUACCACUAUAUAGGGAAUAGGGCUCUGGUCUAUAGUAGUACCACUAUAUAGGGAAUAGGGCUCUGGGCUAUAGUAGUACCACUAUAUAGGGAAUAGGGCCCUGGUCUAUAGUAGUGCACUAUAUAGGGAAUAGGGCUCUGGUCUAUAGUAGUACCACUAUAUAGGGAAUAGGGCUCUGGUCUACAGUAGUACCACUAUAUAGGGAAUAGGGCUCUGGUCUAUAGUAGUACCACUAUAUAGGGAAUAGGGCUCUGGUCUAUAGUAGUACCACUAUAUAGGGAAUAUGGCUCUGGUCUAUAGUAGUACCACUAUAUAGGGAAUAGGGCUCUGGUCUAUAGUAGUGUACUAAAUAGGGAGAAGUGUGUGAAUUGUAAAUCCCAGAAACCUCAACAGAGCAAUGCUCUUGAGUGUGUGUGUGUGUGUGUGUGUGUGUGUGUGUGUGUGUGUGUGUGUGUGUGUGUGUGUGUGUGUGUGUGUGUGUGUGUGUGUGUGUGUGUGUGUGUGUGUGUGUGUGUGUGUGUGUGUGUGUGUGUGUGUGUGUGUGUGUGUGUGUGUGUGUGUGUGUGUGUGUGUGUGUGUGUGUGUGUGUCUGUGUGUGUGAGAUUGUGUGUUAUCUUGAUAUAACCUUGUCAUUAUUUAGUAAUAUGUUCGUUCCAACUCUGGUCAUUGAUUGGUGCGUUUUGCCUGAUGUGGAUUCCUGUGUUGUGUGUCAGACUUACAACCUGAAGUACCUGUACAUGUCCCUGAUGUUAAAAUGGAUCCUGUGAAGUGACGGUCAGUGUUCUUCAGAGAGGGGGGGUACGUGUCCCUGAUAUUAAAAUGGAUCCUGUGAAGUGACGGUCCGUGUCCCUGAUAUUAAAAUGGAUCCUGUGAAGUGACGGUCCAUGUCCCUGAUAUUAAAAUGGAUCCUGUGAAGUGACGGUCCGUGUCCCUGAUAUUAAAAUGGAUCCUGUGAAGUGACGGUCCGUGUCCCUGAUAUUAAAAUGGAUCCUGUGAAGUGACGGUCCGUGUCCCUGAUAUUAAAAUGGAUCCUGUGAAGUGACGGUCCGUGUCCCUGAUAUUAAAAUGGAUCCUGUGAAGUGACGGUCCGUGUCCCUGAUGUUAAAAUGGAUCCUGUGAAGUGACGGUCAGUGUUCUUCAGAGAGGGGGGGUACGUGUCCCUGAUAUUAAAAUGGAUCCUGUGAAGUGACGGUCCGUGUCCCUGAUAUUAAAAUGGAUCCUGUGAAGUGACGGUCCGUGUCCCUGAUAUUAAAAUGGAUCCUCUUUCUUUUUGUUACAGAUGAACUACGAUCACAUAGUAUAUAGGGGGGCACACGCCAACACUCAGAGGCAGGAGGGAUGACCAGGGAUGUUCUCUGUUUAGUGAGUCCUCCAGAUCAGAGACAGGAGGGAUGACCAGGGAUGUUCUCUGUUUAGUGAGUCCUCCAGAUCAGAGACAGGAGGGAUGGCCAGGGAUGUUCUCUGUUUAGUGAGUCCUCCAGAUCAGAGACAGGAGGGAUGACCAGGGAUGUUCUCUGUUUAGUGAGUCCUCCAGAUCAGAGACAGGAGGGAUGACCAGGGAUGUUCUCUGUUUAGUGAGUCCUCCAGAUCAGAGGCAGUAGGGAUGACCAGGGAUGUUCUCUGUUUAGUGAGUCCUCCAGAUCAGAGGCUAGUAGGGAUGACCAGGGAUGUUGUCUUGAGAAGUGCGUGAAUUGGACCAUUUAUCCUUCCUGCUAAGCAUUCGAAAUGCAACGAGUACUUUUGGUUGUCAGAUGAAAAUUAAUGAUGUAAAAAGUACAUAAUUUUCUUGAAUGUAGUGAAGUAAAAGUUGUCAAAAAUACAAAUAUUAAAGUAUUUUUUACUUAAGUAAUUUA